rnacentral:tmRNA from 1 species
CGUCCCUUCCCGCCCGCCGAAGGGAGCCGGGGCGUCACCCAUGCGGGCUACUGCGCGCGGACUGCAAUCCGAUGCGUGCGGGAAACAAAGGAUCGCUGGCAUUCCAUUCAGCCUGCCGUUCGGCGGAGGGGAUGCGAGAUUUAAAUGACCGGCUAUGCUUGUAGAAGCCUGAGCGAUUGCUGCUCGACACGAGGGUUCAACUCCCUCCGCCUCCACCA